rnacentral:rRNA from 1 species
UACGGAGGGUGCAAGCGUUGCUCGGAAUUAUUGGGCGUAAAGGGUAGGUAGGUGGUCUCAUUUGUCUGGGGUGAAAUCCUUGGGCUUAACCCAAGAAGUGCCCCGGAAACGUUGAGACUAGAGUCCUGGAGAGGGUCGUGGAAUUCCCGGUGUAGCGGUGAAAUGCGUAGAGAUCGGGAGGAACACCAGAGGCGAAGGCGGCGACCUGGACAGGUACUGACACUCAACUACGAAAGCGUGGGGAGCAAACAGG